rnacentral:rRNA from 1 species
ACUCAAAUGAAUUGACGGGGGCUCGCACAAGCGGUGGAGCAUGCGGUUUAAUUCGAUGUUACGCGAAAAACCUUACCAACCCUUGACAUGGUGGUCGAGAAUCGCAGAGAUGCUUUUCAUCAGUUCGGCUGGACCACACACAGGUGUUGCAUGGCUGUCGUCAGCUCGUGUCGUGAGAUGUUGGGUUAAGUCCCGCAACGAGCGCAACCCUUAUCUUUAUUUGCCAGCGAGUAAUGUCGGGAACUAUAAAGAAACUGCCGGUGAUAAGCCGGAGGAAGGUGGGGACGACGUCAAGUCAUCAUGGCCCUUAUGGGUUGGGCUACACGCGUGCUACAAUGGUGUCUACAGAGGGAAGCAAUACGGCGACGUGGAGCAAAUCCCUAAAAGACAUCUCAGUUCGGAUUGCUCUCUGCAACUCGAGAGCAUGAAGUCGGAAUCGCUAGUAAUCGCGGAUCAGCAUGCCGCGGUGAAUACGUUCUCGGGCCUUGUACACACCGCCCGU